rnacentral:rRNA from 1 species
GGUACCUAAAGUACGUAACCGCAAGGAGCGUCCUAGGGUAAAACCGAUAACUGGGGCUAAGUCGUAACAAGGUAGCCGUACCGGAAGGUGCGGCUGGAAUACCUCCUUUCUGGAG